GUAUUUAUCGAUAGAGCAACAGCUGAGAUCGCCUUUGAAUUCAAUAACAAGUGCAUUUUCAAUGAAUUAGGUAUUUAACUAAGAAACUCAGCUGAAAUGCGCAAUUAUUGACUGCCUUAACUAAGCCCUCGAGUUCGAAACUAUUUAGAAAAGAGUAGGUUCCAGCAUAACAACCUAAAACUGCACGCCGAACCUGCUUCGACUAAAAACACACAAGCCUCUGUUAGUAUUGGUUCAAAAGGGGGGCCCCAAGGUGAAGCGCUAAUGCGACAUCAACAUCAACGCGUGGCUGGAGCUAAUAGUGAUUGCACUAAACCCUUUGCAGCGGGUUGUAUGGAUUCCUCAAAAAUGCACUGACUGGCCAGUUCGAGAAGAUAUUGAAAUAGAACACAAAGCAAGAAGCGAAACGAAGGAAACAAAUGGUGCACUCACGGAAAACAAAACGAGAAAACGCUGAACGCGAGAAAUCUUGUAGCACCGAUGGAGCACCAAAUGAAGAGGAAGAACUGUUCAAGAUAAAAUCGAGGAUUGCUGGAAAGUCGUAAUGGACUAUCUCAACGUAGAAGACCACCUCAGCCUCGCUUCCUCGAACGUGUAUAUCGGCGAGAUGUUCAAGAGAUACAAUCGAUUCUAGGCGGAGCGUUGAAUAGGAGCGGAUGGGAAGAUCUAUACAUCCUGAAAAAGCUCAAAGCCUUGGACGAUACUCUGGGAACUCUGUGGCAGUUCCAGAGAAAGGUCAGGGGAAUAGAGCCGUUCCAAGUGCCCUGCGUAUCGGAUUCCUCUGGAUGGACUGUCAUCCAGAGAUGAGUGAACGGCAACGAGCACUUCAGUCGGCACUGGGCAGACUACAAAAUGAGUUUCGGAAACCUACGCGAGAACUUCUUUCUUGGACUGGAAAAAAUCCAUCGAAUGACCCUGCUACAGCCUCACGAGUUGUAUAUCCAACUCCAAGAUGUCAAUGGAGAAACCAGCUAUGCUCGCUAUGACGAUUUCAGAAUAGGGAGCGAAGAGGUUUUUUGAAUUUUCGCUCACAAAUCGUACUUUCGUGUAUCAUUUAUUCCAAUAGAUUGCAUUUAAAUCCUUUUUGCUCAUUAAUUUUCAAACAAUUUCUAUUUGGCGCUUAAGUUUGGUGGGACUUUUUUGGGAUUUCCUCUGAUGGGAUUUUUCCUCGCCAGAAUUUCCCUUUUCCCUACUCAUACUCACUUACGUUUUCUUACGUCUUAUGUCGCUGGCAACAUUGAGCAACAUUUUGCAUACCCUGGGGAAAGAGAUAUUAUAGAACUUUUACUACGUACGUAAAAGGAUAUUAUAUAAUUGAAGAAAUGUUUGUCAUCUAAUGCACCAAUAAAGGCCAAAACUAGUCA
rnacentral:sRNA from 1 species